rnacentral:rRNA from 1 species
GACGAACGCUGGCGGCGUGCCUAAUACAUGCAAGUUGAGCGAUGAAGAUUGGUGCUUGCACCAAUUUGAAGAGCAGCGAACGGGUGAGUAACGCGUGGGGAAUCUGCCUUUGAGCGGGGGACAACAUUUGGAAACGAAUGCUAAUACCGCAUAACAACUUUAAACAUAAGUUUUAAGUUUGAAAGAUGCAAUUGCAUCACUCAAAGAUGAUCCCGCGUUGUAUUAGCUAGUUGGUGAGGUAAAGGCUCACCAAGGCGAUGAUACGUAGCCGACCUGAGAGGGUGAUCGGCCACAUUGGGACUGAGACACGGCCCAAACUCCUACGGGAGGCAGCAGUAGGGAAUCUUCGGCAAUGGACGAAAGUCUGACCGAGCAACGCCGCGUGAGUGAAGAAGGUUUUCGGAUCGUAAAACUCUGUUGGUAGAGAAGAACGUUGGCGAGAGUGGAAAGCUCAUCAAGUGACGGUAACUACCCAGAAAGGGACGGCUAACUACGUG